ensembl:lncRNA LINC02542 long intergenic non-protein coding RNA 2542
GGAGCUUCCCAGCUGCUUUGUUUACCUAAGCAAGCCUGGGCAAUGGCGGGCGCCCCUCCCCCAGCCUCGCUGCCGCCUUGCAGUUUGAUCUCAGACUGCUGUGCUAGCAAUCAGCGAGACUCCGUGGACGUAGGACCCUCUGAGCCAGGUGCGGGAUAUUAUCUCAUGGUGUGCCGUUUUUUAAGCCAGUCGGAAAAGCACAGUAUUCGGGUAGGAGUGACCCGAUUUUCCAGGAUCCAGUCCAAGAAUAAGUAAAUGGCAUCCUUCCAGUGGAGAGCUGACAGCUGGGAUUGAAACAAGAUCCAGAAUUCACCCUGCUGUUUCUCCAUGAGUCUGACCUGCAUCAACUGCCUCCCUUAUUCUGGGAUUCCAGUUGUGGAGCUCAAGGACAAGUCCAUUCUGGGCUGGCUGUAUCCAACUUCUUUAGUCCAACUAUAUCCCCACUGGAAGCCAGGCUCUUUCCAACAGCUGUCACCCAUGCCUCUUUCUAUGUUUGUUAUCUGUCUCUAGGUUCUGGUAACUACUUCCUUCCCUUGCCCCUUCUGGCCUAGGGUGCUACCAAUCCCUCCUCCAAAUCCAACUGUCACUAGCCUCAAAGUACUUGUAGCUUCCUCACCUUACUUUCACCUUAAUAAAUGGUCCCCCUACUAUCUCUCUUCAAAGCACCCAAUUUGAGUGUGCCAUCUGUUUCUUGCCAGGAUCCUGGUUGGUACAUCAACCAAGCUGCACUGAUGGAGGAGCACUGUGCUGAACUUUAGGAAUGAAGCCACAGGGCCCUCACUGCCCCCAUAGUCACCUUGGUCAUCUUCUGCCUCCCUGAAAGACUAAAUUCAGUCAGUUCAGAUACAUACACAUCCAGACAUGUCAGGGAAAACUCCAUUUUGUAAGGAUCUCUGCUUAAAAUGCCAAAAGUUUGAAAGUUGGCAAACACUUGAGAAAAGCACAGUUCUCUGUCUUACUCUUACUCUAAACUUGGAGAUAAAUGCAUUUUUAAAAUUGUGCAUGUUAGAGUGCUAACGUGUACAAGAUCAUUUCUGGUGAGACACCACAAACAAUAUUUUAUGAGGCCAAAAUAAGAAAGAAGGAAAUGAAAUAGCUCAGGAAUCUCAGGAAGAGCUCAUCGAACACUUUGCCUUUAUCUCAGACCAUUUUAUCCACAGCCCUGUUAAUCAGGAUUGGAUAUACCUCCAUGAGGGAGUCUUAAACGGAGGGAAAGAGAUGCCACAACUAAAAAAAAGAAUGCAAUAGAAGUUUGUCUUAAUGCCUGUUCUGUGAUGCACAACUUUCGUAAGCCAAAAUUUUAACCUUAUGAACAAUCAGUUCUGUGCUGCCCUUAGCAGAGAACCAUAAAUUAAAGAUAAGCAAUGGUUCAGACUUUCCAGGGCCUUGACUCAGGAGUAACUCUGAAAUCCCAACCAAAUAUGUAUUUGGUUAAGCAAUUUGGCACAUUUUUCUAUUUUGAGGCAUUAAACUAUAAUUACAAGUCACUUUUAUUUCAUUCCAAAUAAAUGUCCCUAAAGUAGAUAGAACUAGAGGUUUCCUUUUUUUAAAAAAAGGAAACAGGAAAACAACAAACAAAACCAAAAAGAACAAAAGCAAAACAAAA